ACGUAGGUGGCAAGCGUUGUCCGGAUUUAUUGGGCGUAAAGCGAGCGCAGGCGGUUUCUUAAGUCUGAUGUGAAAGCCUUCGGCUCAACCGAAGAACUGCAUCGGAUACUGGGAAGCUUGAGUGGAGAAGAGGAGAGCGGAACUCCAUGUGGGGCGGUGAAAUGCGUAGAUAUCGGGAGGAACACCAGAGGCGAAGGCGGAUCUCUAGGCUAGUCCUGACCUUUAGACACGAAAGCUUGGGGAGCAAACGG
rnacentral:rRNA from 1 species